rnacentral:rRNA from 1 species
CCUACGGGCGGCAGCAGUGAGGAAUAUUGGUCAAUGGACGAGAGUCUGAACCAGCCAAGUAGCGUGAAGGAUGACUGCCCUAUGGGUUGUAAACUUCUUUUAUAUGGGAAUAAAAUGUUCCACGUGUGGGAUUUUGUAUGUACCAUAUGAAUAAGGUUCGGCUAACUCCGUGCCAGCAGCCGCGGUAAUACGGAGGAUCCGAUCGUUAUCCGGAUUUAUUGGGUUUAAAGGGAGCGUAGGUGGAUUGUUAAGUCAGUUGUGAAAGUUUGCGGCUCAACCGUAGAAUUGCAGUUGAAACUGGCAGUCUUGAGUACAGUAGAGGUGGGCGGAAUGCGAGGUGUAGCGGUGAAAUGCUUAGAUAUCACGAAGAACACCGAUUGCGAAGGCAGUUCACUGGACUGCAACUGACACUGAGGCUCGAAAGUGUGGGUAUCAAACAGGAUUAGAUACCCGGGUAGUC